CAGCAUGUACAGCAUCAUUUUAUAUUGUACAUAAAUACAAUGAACAUCUAAAUGAGAUGUGGACAUACGAAGGACCGGAUUGUAUCCAAAAAUUUUGUCAAGCACUUAGGAUGAAAACCGAUGGACUUUAUGAGAAGUACUGGAAGUCCUAUAAAAAACCAAUCUAUCAGUUUAACAUUUGGGAUGAGGAUUAUCAGGAACACGGUGAUUGCUAUGCCUGCGAGAAACAAAUUUCUGAUGAUGAUCGAGAAAAAUUCUUUGAUCAGUUUACAGGACAAUAUGUAGGUCCUAUUCAUAAGCUGUGUAAACAGACAUUUAGAUUAAGCGAUCCCUUUUUCCCGGUAGUUUUUCAUAACUUGUCUCGUUAUGAUAUACAUUUAUUUGUUACGUCAAUAAAAGAUGAACUAAGACCCA